AAAGGUAGUCCGUGACAUUUACAUUAAAUAUUCGAAAAAUAGAGGUUUUUCCGUGACUUUCUUGCAGAAUUGGUCUAGCCGCACAAGUUUUUCAUAUACCAUAUUCUCAGUUUCAGCUUCUAGAAGGAGCUGUAGGUGGUUGAAUUUAGAUAUGACGAAAUGAAAUUUUCAGCACUGAAAAUAAGCCGCAGCCUAUUUUUGAGACUGGGUCCACAAGAACCUUUGGGCCUGCCUCUGCUGCGAUUUUCUUCUGGAUUCCAACCAAAUGCGUACUUGUUGAUUUCGUUCCCACAUUUCUGUCACUGUAUUCUGUCGGUACGUGACAAAUUAGCGAGACCCGUGACCCAAGAUUGGUGUGGCAACACCACUAUAUUGAUGAUAGGUACUGGUACAAUAGACUAAUUUCAAGACCUGAAUGUACCGAAGAAAACCAUUCAAAUGUGUGUGUCUAUCUGAAUUAACGAGAUUUUUAGCAUUAGACUAGUUCAUUCAAUGCCGUGUAUUUUUCCACGUAAUUUGUCAUUUGUGUAAGUCGCGACCAUGACGCCGCUGCUGGUACUUGACAUA